AAAGGAGUAGGUCCGGUAAGGACCGAUUUUUGCCUCAAAUUUCAAGUUCAUCUGACGAAAGAUUUUGACCACUUUUUAAACACUUGAGUGUCUAUUUCAUUUGAAUCAAUUAGUUUAUGUGAACGAUUUUAACUGAUUUAAUCAUUAAAAACGAUCCGAUGCAAGCUCCAAUAUGAAAAAUCUACCAAAUAUGCCGAAAAAUGUCACUAUUCAGAAGGUUUUUGUCAAAAACGAAAGUGGCCGCAUCCGUGUUCAUCCUCAACCUUUAUAUAUGUUAUGUAUUAUCAUAAAAUACCACUUAUAUUUCAAUAUUAAGGAUGAACACGAAUGCGGCCACUUUCGUUUUACACGAAAACCGUCUAAAAUUUAACUAAAAUGCUAAAAUUUUGAAGAUUUCAGUAAUUUAGCAUGACUUAAUGGUCCUAGUACCCGAUAUAUGUGCAUUGUAUUGUCAAAAACAGCCCAUAUUUAUGUAGCAGAAGCAUUUUACUGUCCAAUAAAUAACUAAAAGUUUAUAUUUUAACGAUUUUGUAAAACUGCUAUAUUUUGGGGCCAAAAAGUGGUCUUACUGGACCUACUCCUUU
rnacentral:lncRNA from 1 species